rnacentral:rRNA from 1 species
CAGUAGCCGCGGUAAUACAGAGGGUGCGAGCGUUAAUCGGAUUUACUGGGCGUAAAGCGUGCGUAGGCGGCUUUUUAAGUCGGAUGUGAAAUCCCUGAGCUUAACUUAGGAAUUGCAUUCGAUACUGGGAAGCUAGAGUAUGGGAGAGGAUGGUAGAAUUCCAGGUGUAGCGGUGAAAUGCGUAGAGAUCUGGAGGAAUACCGAUGGCGAAGGCAGCCAUCUGGCCUAAUACUGACGCUGAGGUACGAAAGCAUGGGGAGCAAACAGGAUUAGAUACCCCGUAGUCCCUGUCUCUUAUACA